UACGUAGGGUCCGAGCGUUGUCCGGAAUUACUGGGCGUAAAGAGCUCGUAGGUGGUUUGUCGCGUUGUUCGUGAAAACUCACAGCUUAACUGUGGGCGUGCGGGCGAUACGGGCAGACUUGAGUACUGCAGGGGAGACUGGAAUUCCUGGUGUAGCGGUGGAAUGCGCAGAUAUCAGGAGGAACACCGGUGGCGAAGGCGGGUCUCUGGACAGUAACUGACGCUGAGGAGCGAAAGCGUGGGGAGCGAACGGG
rnacentral:rRNA from 1 species